rnacentral:rRNA from 1 species
CUACGUAGGGGGCGAGCGUUGUCCGGAAUGAUUGGGCGUAAAGAGCUCGUAGGUGGUUUGUCGCGUCGUCUGUGAAAUUCCGGGGCUUAACUCCGGGCGUGCAGGCGAUACGGGCAUAACUUGAGUACUGUAGGGGAGACUGGAAUUCCUGGUGUAGCGGUGAAAUGCGCAGAUAUCAGGAGGAACACCGGUGGCGAAGGCGGGUCUCUGGGCAGUAACGGACGCUGAGGAGCGAAAGCAUGGGUAGCGAACAGGAUUAGAUACCCUGGUAGUCCAUGCCGUAAACGGUGGGCGCUAGGUGUAGGGGUCUUCCACGACUUCUGUGCCGUAGCUAACGCAUUAAGCGCCCCGCCUGGGGAGUACGGCCGCAAGGCUAAAACUCAAAGGAAUUGACGGGG